CUGUGGUCUAAGGUGAGGCUUUCCCCACACCUGUCAGCCCAACACACACACACACACACACACACGCACACACACGCACUAUUUAAAUCUCUAUCUUGCUCCCAUAAUCUCUGUCCUGUCCCUACAGGGACAUCAUUGCACUUUAUUUUAAUUACUUGUUUAACUGUCUGUCUUCCUCACUAGACUGCAAGCUCCUUGGGGACAGGGAUUGUGUUCGCCUUCUUCAUCAUUCAGUCCCAGAGUGAGCGGACUGCCUGCUACACAGGAGGCAUCAAUAAAUAUGUGUAAAAGGCACGUGUUCUGUGUUUAGCUCAUAAUUAAGAAUCAGCCAUACAUUUUUAGUUUUUUUGCAAUCUUUUUUUUUUUUUUAAAUGACAGCCCUGCUGAAGUUAUUUAAUAAAGAGACUAGAGCCGCACACACCAAUGAACCCGGGUCCCAGUCUCGCCUCUGUCCUUGCCAGAUUUGUGAUCUUGGGCAGGGGGACAGACCACCCUGUGCAUCCUUUCUUCACGAGUGUGGUUAGGGAUUUGGCCAGGUGUGAUUGCCGAGGUCUUGCCUGAUCCUGGCGUUAUGCAAGAAGGGAAGGCAUUUUCUAGGACUAGUCAAAAGAGAAAACUAGUUAAACUUUUUCUGGGGUUUUGUGUGUGUGUCCUCUCCCAAACUACUGUUGAACUUUCAUUGCCAUUUUAACAGUACUGAGAGGCGGGAACUUUGGGAGGUGAUUUGGCCACGAGGGCUCUGCCCUCAUGGGUGGGUUUAAUGCCUGUGAAAAGGGCUUUCUGGAGUGGGUUCUUUCUCCUGGCUCUGCCAUCCUCCUGCCACGUGGGGGACAGUGUCCCUCCUCUCUGGAGGAAGCAGCGUUCAAGGUGACAUCUUGGAAGUGGAGACCAGGCCCUCUCCAGUCACCAACCCUGCUGACACCUCAGUCCUGGGCUUCCUAACCGCCAGGACUGCAGUAAAUACAUGUCUGCUCUUUAUAAAUCGCCCAGGCUUCGGGCGUUCUGCCAUGGCAGCACAAAACAGACUAAGACAACGCUGAAUAUUUUAUGGAGUCAAAACCCACAGAUGAACACACACGUCAGGAAAGCAGAAAGCCCAGACUCUGAGCCUCCUUUGCCAACGAACUGCUUCCAGCCCCUCGGAUGGAUGGAAGUUUUCACGCCAAUUGGAGGAGAAAUCAGUUCAAGAGUGCCGUUUGCUGUGGGCUCCCUGUGGGCCGUCACCGCUCUCCUAGGAUCUCAUGGUUCCAACCGUGAGCGAGGAUGUGAGGACACAGCAAGGAGCCACCAGGGCACUGGCUAUGCAGUGGGACGCGGCCCUCACCAGACACUGAAUCAGUCCUGAUGUCAACGAACUUUGUAUGGAUAAGCACCUCAGUUUCUUGUUUUCCAAAGAGGAAAUGGGAGCAGACCAGAUGAAGGAGGCAGAGCACUCUCCCACACAGCUGGCCUCCUGUGGCGAGGCGUGUGGCCGUGGUUCAUAAACAAGCAGGGUGAUGACCUGUCACAGAAGCCUCCGACCUGGCAGGCAGCAGGGGACACGAAGGAGUUUGGCCUGAAAUGCUCUGACGUGUCACCGCCUCACUCUCGGGCGGCUCCUGAGCACCCAGCAGAGCGGGACCUGGGAAUACCCUUACUGGGCAUCUGGUCGGAGUGAAUCACGCCCGAGCCUGCGGCUGAGGGAGAUUUCUAGCGUCCAGCCUUGGGUUCUCAGCGUUUGCAGACGCGGACGGGCCGAAACCCUCUGGAGAGAAGGCACUGGCGCCUCGCCAAGGCAGGCAGCCCGCUCUGUGCUGCUACUAGGGAACCACGGCGACUCCGAAAUGCACCCUAAGCUGCCCUCGCAUUGUGACAGUUUGUGUUGGCCUGAGGAUCUAAAAUUAAGACUCUAAACCGAGGAGAGUAACUUCAGGCUGCCCGGGAGCCACUGGGGACUCACAUGCAGAUUGCAGAUUGACAUUUGAGACCCUUCCCUCUUUACCCCCACUGGUCCUUCCACACCUGUCACCGGGCUCAUCUGAGUGGUCUCUGUCCCCAAACCCUGAACGCACCUUCGCUUCUGUCCUUCCCCCUCCCUCACCUGCUAUGACUUGCAUGAUUGUUCCUUUCAAAUCUCACAUUGAAAUUUAAUUGCCAUUGUGACUGUAUCAGAAGGUGGUACUUCUAAGAAGUGUUUAGGUCAUGAAGGCUUCACCCUCCUCUUACAGCGGAAUGGGUUCCUUAUCACAGAAUGGGGGCGUUAUCACAGGAGGACAUCCGCCCCCUCUGGCUCUCUGUCUUCCCCUCUUUCUGGCAGUCCUCCAGGGAUGCCUUCUGCCAGGUGACAGUGUAGUACCAAGGCCCUUAACAGGUGUGGGCACCUUGACCUUGGACUCUCGCCUCCAGAACUGCGAGCCAGUACAUUUCUAUUCAUUAUAAAUUUCCCAAUCUGUGGUAAUUCCAUUAUAGUAGCACACAGCAGACAUCCCAUUUGUGACAUCCCUAGUGACAUCCCAUUUGUCUCUCAAUUGUCCCCUUGUGCCGAAGCCGCCUAAUCAGCUUCCCCCAGAGAGAGGCUUCCUUCUUCUCUUCUCCCAGAAAGGCCUACGGAUAAGACACUGCUUUAGAACAAUCAUGAGUGGUAAAAUGGAUAAUCUGGCAAUUCUAGCUCAACAAUCUGCUGCCUGAUACAAUUUAUUAAACUCACUUUGCUGCAGCAGGUACAGAAUUAGACACUGGGAGCAAAGAUGCAAAGAAAGCCAAAGUGCUAACAGGACAAGUGGGCUCUGGUUUGUACACUGAUGGAUAGUGUUUCUAAUGUACCUAAAAUAUAUUAUCGUGUAAUAUUUAUGCAAUAGGUUUAGAUCUCAUGUUUAUGGAUAAUUAUCCACUUUAGUAUAGAAACCUAUUAUUAUACGUGCAUAAUAAAUACACAAAUAUACAGUAUAGUUUAUAAUAUUUAUAUAGUACUUACAAAUAUGUUACUUGUAUUUGUUUCUAGAUAUAACCUGAGACAUUUACUGAAAAUAUAGAUGCCUGGGUCCUCCUCCAGGGGUUCUGAUUCACUUAUUUCUAGAUGGAGCCAGAUGAUCUGGGUUUUCUGUGGAGCUACUGAGGCGACUGGUCCAAAGAACUGCUCGGAGAAACACCAACCCAGGACAGGCCGGCACUGCCCCUUCUCCCACUCCCUCCUGCUUUCUCCGUGUUUGGUCCUCUCCCAGCGCUGGGCUCAACAAGAUCCCUGUGGGUUGGUUAAUUUUAUGUGUCACCUUGGCUGGGCCACGGUGCUCAGAUACAUGGUUAGGCAUCAUGACGGGUGUUUCUGUGAGGGUGUUUCGGAUGAGAUUGACAUUAAAAUCAGUGGACUGGGAGAAAAAUAGAUUUCCCUCCACAAUGUGAGUUGGCCUCAUCCAGCUAGUUGAAGACCUGAAUAGAACAACAGCAAGAGUGAAUUCUGAGCAAGAGUGAAUUCUGUCAGGGAAGUGUCUUCGGACAGGAACUGCAACAUCAGCUUUUCCUGGCCUUCGGUCUGCUGGCCCAGCCGACAGAUUUGGGGCUUGCGAGCCUCCAUGGUCGUGUGUGCCAAUUCCUUACUAUAAAUCUCUUUCUGUAAUGUAUACACAGAGCUGUGCAAUACAUGCUCUUGGUCCUGCUUCCCUGGGGAACCCUGACCAACAUACCCCUGAGAAUUUGAACUCAGAUCCUCACGGCCAAGCACACACACCCACCUGUGUCUCCCAGCAUGUGGGAUGAGCCUGACCCCCUCAGAACCACCCAGGGAGCCCUUGAAAAUGCAGGUUCCUAGUCUGCACCCCCAGUCUCUCACCCAACAGGGCUUGAGUCAACCCUGAAAUCUACAAUUACAGAAUAUUUGGCUAUUUUUUAGUAUGUGACUCUGAAUCAUUUCAAAAUGUGAGUUACUCUAGUAUAGAGCUCUGUGAAAAGCACAAUAAAUAAAAACCAGUGCUUCUGGGAAGGGAUUUGCAAUUUGAGUGAGAACGUCUAUUUUGGAGUAACAGCACCACAAUUGUACUGGGUUGAAUAGUGUCACUCUCAAAUGCAUGUCCUUCCUGGAACCUCAGAAUGCGAUUAUAUUUGGAAAUAGGGUUGUUACAGAUGUAACUAGUUAAGAUGAGAUCAUACUGGAGUAGGGAGGGCCAUUAAUUCAGAAUGACUGGUGUCUUUCCUCUUGAAAAGA